rnacentral:rRNA from 1 species
UGGGGAAUAUUGGACAAUGGGCGCAAGCCUGAUCCAGCCAUGCCGCGUGAGUGAUGAAUGCCCUAGGGUUGUAAAGCUCUUUCACCGGUGAAGAUAAUGACGGUAACCGGAGAAGAAGCCCCGGCUAACUUCGUGCCAGCAGCCGCGGUAAUACGAAGGGGGCUAGCGUUGUUCGGAUUUACUGGGCGUAAAGCGCACGUAGGCGGACUUUUAAGUCAGGGGUGAAAUCCCGGGGCUCAACCCCGGAACUGCCUUUGAUACUGGAAGUCUUGAGUAUGGUAGAGGUGAGUGGAAUUCCGAGUGUAGAGGUGAAAUUCGUAGAUAUUCGGAGGAAAACCAGUGGCGAAGGCGGCUCACUGGACCAUUACUGACGCUGAGGUGCGAAAGCGUGGGGAGCAAACAGG